rnacentral:rRNA from 1 species
GAUGAACGCUAGCUACAGGCUUAACACAUGCAAGUCGAGGGGCAGCAUGGGAUUAGCUUGCUAAUCCUGAUGGCGACCGGCGCACGGGUGCGUAACGCGUAUCCAACCUGCCCUCUACUCCGGAACAGCCCGUCGAAAGGCGGAUUAAUGCCGGAUGGUGUCACAUGCCCGCAUGAGUGUGUGACUAAAGGCAACGGUAGAGGAUGGGGAUGCGACUGAUUAGCUUGUUGGCGGGGUAACGGCCCACCAAGGCUACGAUCAGUAGGGGUUCUGAGAGGAAGGUCCCCCACAUUGGAACUGAGACACGGUCCAA